GACGAACGCUGGCGGCGUGCUUAACACAUGCAAGUCGAACGGAAAGGCCCUGCUUUUGUGGGGUGCUCGAGUGGCGAACGGGUGAGUAACACGUGAGUAACCUGCCCUUGACUUUGGGAUAACUUCAGGAAACUGGGGCUAAUACCGGAUAGGAGCUCCUGCUGCAUGGUGGUGGUUGGAAAGUUUCGGCGGUUGGGGAUGGACUCGCGGCUUAUCAGCUUGUUGGUGGGGUAGUGGCUUACCAAGGCUUUGACGGGUAGCCGGCCUGAGAGGGUGACCGGCCACAUUGGGACUGAGAUACGGCCCAGACGCCUACGGGAGGCAGCAGUGGGGAAUAUUGCACAAUGGGCGGAAGCCUGAUGCAGCAACGCCGCGUGCGGGAUGACGGCCUUCGGGUUGUAAACCGCUUUCGCCUGUGACGAAGCGUGAGUGACGGUAAUGGGUAAAGAAGCACCGGCUAACUACGUG
rnacentral:rRNA from 1 species